CUAGCAAUUGAUUGGUGCUUGCAUCAUGAUUUACAUUUGAGUGAGUGGCGAACUGGUGAGUAACACGUGGGAAACCUGCCCAGAAGCGGGGGAUAACACCUGGAAACAGAUGCUAAUACCGCAUAACAACUUGGACCGCAUGGUCCGAGUUUGAAAGAUGGCUUCGGCUAUCACUUUUGGAUGGUCCCGCGGCGUAUUAGCUAGAUGGUGAGGUAACGGCUCACCAUGGCAAUGAUACGUAGCCGACCUGAGAGGGUAAUCGGCCACAUUGGGACUGAGACACGGCCCAAACUCCUACGGGAGGCAGCAGUAGGGAAUCUUCCACAAUGGACGAAAGUCUGAUGGAGCAACGCCGCGUGAGUGAAGAAGGGUUUCGGCUCGUAAAACUCUGUUGUUAAAGAAGAACAUAUCUGAGAGUAACUGUUCAGGUAUUGACGGUAUUUAACCAGAAAGCCACGGCUAACUACGUGCCAGCAGCCGCGGUAAUACGUAGGUGGCAAGCGUUGUCCGGAUUUAUUGGGCGUAAAGCGAGCGCAGGCGGUUUUUUAAGUCUGAUGUGAAAGCCUUCGGCUCAACCGAAGAAGUGCAUCGGAAACUGGGAAACUUGAGUGCAGAAGAGGACAGUGGAACUCCAUGUGUAGCGGUGAAAUGCGUAGAUAUAUGGAAGAACACCAGUGGCGAAGGCGGCUGUCUGGUCUGUAACUGACGCUGAGGCUCGAAAGUAUGGGUAGCAAACAGGAUUAGAUACCCUGGUAGUCCAUACCGUAAACGAUGAAUGCUAAGUGUUGGAGGGUUUCCGCCCUUCAGUGCUGCAGCUAACGCAUUAAGCAUUCCGCCUGGGGAGUACGGCCGCAAGGCUGAAACUCAAAGGAAUUGACGGGGGCCCGCACAAGCGGUGGAGCAUGUGGUUUAAUUCGAAGCUACGCGAAGAACCUUACCAGGUCUUGACAUACUAUGCAAAUCUAAGAGAUUAGACGUUCCCUUCGGGGACAUGGAUACAGGUGGUGCAUGGUUGUCGUCAGCUCGUGUCGUGAGAUGUUGGGUUAAGUCCCGCAACGAGCGCAACCCUUAUUAUCAGUUGCCAGCAUUAAGUUGGGCACUCUGGUGAGACUGCCGGUGACAAACCGGAGGAAGGUGGGGAUGACGUCAAAUCAUCAUGCCCCUUAUGACCUGGGCUACACACGUGCUACAAUGGAUGGUACAACGAGUUGCGAACUCGCGAGAGUAAGCUAAUCUCUUAAAGCCAUUCUCAGUUCGGAUUGUAGGCUGCAACUCGCCUACAUGAAGUCGGAAUCGCUAGUAAUCGCGGAUCAGCAUGCCGCGGUGAAUACGUUCCCGGGCCUUGUACACACCGCCCGUCACACCAUGAGAGUUUGUAACACCCAAAGUCGGU
rnacentral:rRNA from 2 species